AGCGAGGCUAGAGUCACGCCUGGGUACUGCCCAUUGUCCUGGUGUGCUAGAGUGCUCGCAGAGUGAAUGUCUUUGUUUAUUCAUUGGCUGUAGUCUAAUGUGGCCCAGUCAAUCACCGACUCAGAUACAUUG
rnacentral:snoRNA from 1 species